AUUGAACGCUGGCGGCAGGCCUAACACAUGCAAGUCGAACGGUAACAGGAAGAAGCUUGCUUCUUUGCUGACGAGUGGCGGACGGGUGAGUAAUGUCUGGGAAACUGCCUGAUGGAGGGGGAUAACUACUGGAAACGGUAGCUAAUACCGCAUAACGUCGCAAGACCAAAAAGGGGGACCUUCGGGCCUCUUGCCAUCGGAUGUGCCCAGAUGGGAUUAGCUAGUAGGUGGGGUAACGGCUCACCUAGGCGACGAUCCCUAGCUGGUCUGAGAGGAUGACCAGCCACACCGGAACUGAGACACGGUCCCGAACUCUAACGGAGGCCGCAGUGGGGAAAAUUGGCACAUUGGGGCAAGCCUGAUGCAGCCAAGGCGGGUGUAUGAAGAAGGGCCUCCGGGUUUAAAAUUACUUCAGCGGGGAGGAAGGGAGUAAAGUUAAUACCUUUGCUCAUUGACGUUACCCGCAGAAGAAGCACCGGCUAACUCCGUG
rnacentral:rRNA from 1 species